rnacentral:rRNA from 1 species
GAUGAACGCUGGCGGCGUGCCUAAUACAUGCAAGUCGAGCGAACAGACGAGGAGCUUGCUCCUUUGACGUUAGCGGCGGACGGGUGAGUAACACGUGGGUAACCUACCUAUAAGACUGGGAUAACUUCGGGAAACCGGAGCUAAUACCGGAUAAUAUUUCGAACCGCAUGGUUCGAUAGGGAAAGAUGGCUUUGCUAUCACUUAUAGAUGGACCUGCGCCGUAUUAGCUAGUUGGUAAGGUAACGGUUUACUAAGGCAACGAUACGUAGCCGACCUGAGGGGGUGAUCGGCCACAGUGGAACUGAGACACGGUCCAGACCCCUACGGGAGGCAGAAGUAGGGAAUCGGCAGAAUUGGGCGAAAGCCUGACGGAGCAGCACCGCGUGAGUGAUGAAGGUCUUCGGAUCGGAAAACUAUGUUAUUAGGGAAGAAGAGGCGUGUAAGUAACUGUGCACGUCUUGACGGUACCUAAUCAGAAAGCCACGGCUAACUACGUG